AAUGGAAUUGCUGGGUCAUAUGGUACCCUAUCUCUAACUUUUUAAGUAACUGCCAAACUGUUUUCCAAAGAGGCUAUACCAUUUUACAUUCCUACUAGAAAU
rnacentral:pre_miRNA from 1 species